rnacentral:rRNA from 1 species
CCUACGGGAGGCAGCAGUGAGGAAUAUUGGUCAAUGGACGAGAGCCUGAACCAGCCAAGUAGCGUGAAGGAUGACUGCCCUAUGGGUUGUAAACUUCUUUUAUAUGGGAAUAAAAUGUUCCACGUGUGGGAUUUUGUAUGUACAAUAUGAAUAAGGAUCGGCUAACUCCGUGCCAGCAGCCGCGGUAAUACGGAGGAUACGAGCGUUAUCCGGAUUUGUUGGGUUUAAAGGGAGCGUAGGUGGAUUGUUAAGUCAGAUGUGAAAGUUUGGGGCUCAACCGUAAAAUUGCAGUUGAUACUGGCAGUCUUGAGUACAGUAGAGGUGGGCGGAAUUCGUGGUGUAGCGGUGAAAUGCUUAGAGAUCACGAAGAACUCCGAUUGCGAAGGCAGCUCACUGGACUGCAACUGACACUGAGGUGCGAAAGUGUGGGUAUCAAACAGGAUUAGAUACCCCGGUAGUC